AGAGUUGUUGAACGUAAAUAACGUUUAGUCUUAAGACCUAGUGUUAGGAUUAUUAGUAUUAAGAACCAUGAACCAAUUUAUCGUUUUUGAUGAAUUAUGUAUGAGGUUAGCACUCAUUAACUUGGCUGUCGUCAAAACCAUUGAACAACUGAACAAGUUAACACAAUAAUAUCAGAAAUAGGCACAUCCUUUGAGCGUUGGGAAUACUGCAGCCCAAUAUUCCUCGAUGUUUUUCAAGCCUUCGAUCGUGUAUGGCUAGAUGGCCUCAUACACAAAAUCAAAACAAACUUGUCUUAUUACACUCACAAGCUACUUGAGACGUAUCGCUAUAACAGAACCUUCGCAGUAAGGUUCAACAUGAUAACAUUCCACGACUAUAUUAUCAAAGUUGGUGUCCCGCAACGAAGCGCGCUAGGGCCUACUCUGUUCCUCCUAUACACAGCGGAUAUCCCCAUAGGUGCCCAGGCGGAGGCACAACACAGCUAGCAAAAUACCUCCCCAUAGUAGAGAGGUUGCUACCUGAUUGGCGGAUUAAAAUAAAUGAACAAAAAUGUAAACACAUAACGCUUACUCUCAACAGGCAAACAUGCCCUCCACUAUCAUUGAAUAAUACGCAGGUUCCCCAAGUCAACGACGUAACGUCCACCUUGACAGACGACUAACCUGGACAAGAAACAUCUAACGCAAGAAAGUACGUCUAUAGACAAUUAAGGAUUGAAACUAGAGAAAACUUCCCGACAUAUUCUCUUUAUCUAAAAAAGAUAACACAACACUUGCUAAAACAAGCAGCAAUGAUUUUAGGCCAUCGGGACGCAGACCCAUUCGAUAACUAUAAACUCAGACGUCAUGAUAAUCGAAGGAAUUCGGGAGGUUCACAUCAAAAUUAUUGUUGACAAAAAUAUAAUUUCCAAUCAAAGUGCUAUCCAAGAUAUAACAAUAUCAAUUCAAGGGAUAAAAAUAAUUCAAAUAAUUCAUCAAGUCUCCAAGUCUCCAAGGUUCACAAAAUAAAAAUCGGAUUUUCCCUAAGAACCAAGACUUCGAGACCAAAUCUUGGGCGUCGUCUUCAUUAUCGACGCGGUCAAAGCAGAUAUCUUGCUGCUUGGAUAAGGCUACAGGCGCCGCGGAACUGGCAUUGAGCUUCAUGGACAACACGGCCCACAAAAGAACACAAGCGAUGCAAGCGUGUCGGGUUAACUAAUCCUUAGGAGCUCCUGGGGAAAAGAAGGAUCAGCCCAAAUUACCCCUUCUUUUCCGUGACCGAGUAAUUAACCAGGAGUUUGUUUAUCCUGGACGAAAAAAAGAAUUAGGUCAUGGUUCCGCUGAAACAGUAUUGCGCCGACGCCAACGUGAGAAGCGUCACACUGGAUGCAGAAAUGAGGAGAAACUCCUCCGAUUUUCUUUUGCAAGCAAAUGGAAGGUAAGGUAAUUUAAAGUCUUGUUUUCCGCUGGACCCCUAAAGAAAAUAUACAAUUUGUAGUAUGCUUA